GUGUGUAUUUCUAUUAUCUAACAUAGUUCCUGUUUCUUUUCUUGAUAUUUCUCCUGUUUAUGUGUCACAUUGGCUUACCAAUAUCCUGUGUGUGUGUGUGUGUGUGUGUGUGUGUGUGUGUGUGUGUGUGUGUGUGUGUUAUAGGCAUACAAGCGCAUGAGUGUAUGAUUAGAGGUCAGGGCAUCUCUCCUCAUAGCUCUCCACAUUACUGCCUUUCAGAAAGGGUCUCUCACUGAACCAAAGACCAAAGCCUCUUUACUAGGCAGCUGGCCAGGGAGUUCUCAGGGCCCAUGUGCUUCCUUCCUUCCAACUCUCAGCUUCUGGGAGUAUCAGACAUGCCUGGCCUUUUUCACAUGGGUGCUGGGGAUUUCACUUGCGUCUCAUACUUGCAGAGCAUUCCUCUGACCUACAGAGCCAUCUCCCUAGACCCUCCAUUGAUUUUUGGUUCUAACCUCUGCAUUCUCUCUGCUAUUAUUCAUGUCUUCACUUAUUUUACACCGAAUGCAUAUUUUCUAAUCCUUUAUUUUUCCAAUUCCAACUUGUAUGCAUUAAUACCUUAUUGCUUUUCAUGUUCCAGUGAAUUUAAAACUGCUACCUGCUACCCAUUGACUAUUGACUUAACUAAGGUUGUCUCAAUAUAGCUUUUCAGGAUGUUUUCUCACAUACCCAGGAUACAAGCAAAACUGACUACACUUGAUUUUGUGAAUUUUCUUCUGCCUGUAUGUAUUUCUUCUUAUUGUUUCUGUCUGGGUGGCUACUACUCAUUUCUGCCCGGUAAAUUUCGAUUAGCCUUUAAAAUCCAUUCCAAGGGUCACAUGGUUCACACAGUCUUUCUGAUUUCCUCAGCCAGAUGUAAUUUUAUCUUUGAGGGACUGUUGAUAUGAUUUCGUACACUUGCUACUUGCAUUUUAUUUUAUAGUUAUUGUUGUGUACACUUUGUCCCACCCCCUAAAGCAGGGGUCAACCAAAUCUCAUUCUUCUCCAUCCUGAGUAACAUUGUCUCUUGUGCAUUAUGUUUCUAAUUGUUGACUUCAUUAGCCUAUUACAGCCAGGAUGAGUGCUGGGAAACAGAGCACAUGGACUAUUCAUUCAGCCAACGUGCGUCUACUGUUGGUUCCUUUGUUAACUUUUAUGUUAGAAACAAAUAAUGUCAUGAUUUAUUAAUCCAUUGAAUUUAUGACAAAGAAACUAAUGAAAAAUGUGCUCACAGGCUUUACCAACGCGUUGAUUUAUUGAGAUAACAAUCAGGAAAAGUUAUUCUCUUCAGCACAAAAGAGGGAAGAAUAAAAGUCAAGCACUAUAAUUCUAAUAACUUGAAUUCAAUAUUCUUUUGGAGCAAGCUGAAUGAUUUUGAGCACACGCCCCGCCGAGGAUGAGUGCACAUGAACUCCCUGCCUGGUCCAGCUCUCCUGUCAGGUGUGUUUCUGCUCCACAGAUGGCCUACGUUCAUCUUGAUGGUGAAGUGGCAUCAAAAGAAAGGCACCCUAGAAACCUAUCUCACCAAAGCAGCGUCUCUGUACCACAGAGAUGAAAGUCGUAGAUAACAGGGGCAUUCCCAGCACUCACUCCCUUGUGGGUAGCUGACAGUUAACACAGGUGGGCGUAGGACACUACCCAUCCUUUGAAGGUUGUCUGUUGGGGGGGGAUGCUGCCUCUCUGGGAUUAGUCCUGUGCCAUGGGCCUCAGAGCUGCUUCUGAGAAGUGACCAGGUGGUGGAUACCUGCCUUGCUUUUCAGAACUUCACACACGGCUGUCAAACUCCCACUGUGGUUCAAAGGCAGCCAGGCAAGGUGGCUGGCCUUUGCGGUACGUGGCCAUUUGAGGGGCCACCUUGAUUCUUGUUCUGCUCAGAUUGCUGAGCAGCUGGAUUGUUUGUCUACCUCCUCCCCGGAGCCGGGAGGGAGGGAGGCUGGAGAGAGCAGAGCUAAAGUGCAUAAGAGAGAAGCAAGUAUUAAAUGAGUCUGCCAUUCACCAAGCAAACAUCAUUUUGUUUAAAUUACACUGUGCUAUUUUAUCUUGACCUGCAACCAAAUGGAACUCAUUGCAAUACAUUAUCCAAUACGAGAUAGUUGGCUCAUUAAUAAAGCCCUAGGAAGGAGACGGGGUAAACAAUAAAAACUCACACAUUAGCACCAUCAUGCACCAUAAUAUUUUUCCUUCUUUUCAUCAAAAUUCUUCACAUAAUUAGAUCUCAAGUAAGUCAGCAAAGAAAUCCUCAGCAUUUUCUAUUUGGACUCUUUUCUUUUGAGAAAAUUAGUUAUUUUUUCGUACUAUUAAGAAGCAAUCAUGGACAGACCUGGCUUGCUGGAAGUUUUCCUUAUGGAGAGUAAAUGUUUGUUGGAUGCUAAUGGCAUGGCAGGUCUUGUCACUCAGGCAGUUAGCCAAGCAAUGACAGAAAUCUCAGUGAAGGGAAAUAAACUUUUUAGGUAGAAAGGAAAAGCCCCAUUAAGGAUGUUACAGUUAGGCUGAGAUCUCUAAUGUUCAUGGGCAAGCCAAUAGAUUAGAUACCCUAGAUUGGGAACAAGCUUGAUGGGCAAGGGAACACCGGGAAGAUCUGUAUAGCUAUGGGAAGGAUAAAAUGUAGUGUGAAAUAAGAUUGGCCAUGGCAAGGUGUUGUCCUCAUUGUGGUUAGAGACUUUCUGUUUGAAGAGAUCAACUCUAUUUGAUGGGGUUGAGAUGGAGUCCAGGCAGACACUUAGAGCCAGCAUUGCAGUAAUCCUGGUGGUGGAGGAGUGACUUGUGUGUUAUAAUGCAGGUAGAAAGAAGUGGAUGACUCAGGACUUGUUCUGGGGAGACAGCUGAUAAAGACAUAGAGUUUGGCUAUGAGGAGAGAAAGUAGACAAGAGAAGUUGAGGCUGAGUUAGGCUCAGGUUGAUGUGUAGUAGACUUCUCUCCUAACCUCCAAGGUGAAACUUGAGAUAAUGAAAAACAUUUAACCAAUUGUCUGAAUAGCAUCAGUGCCUGGUAUAGACAUAGAAGUUGGCCAUGAAGUGUCUAGAAUUGAUAGAACAAUGCUUUGCAUAAUAGUCCUCAGUGGAAUCCACAUCCUGUGUGGUUGGUUCUGUGUGAACUAUUUGUAAUGAACAAUUCACGAAUGAAAUCCACAAGAGAAGUUCAAAACUGUUGAAUAAGCACUUGGAAAUCUGUGUAACAAUUUGAAAUUGCUGUAAUAUGCAAAUAGUGUUUUAUUUUCCUGAUCAUUCUCUUUUACUCAAUAAAAUGUCAAUCUGA
rnacentral:sRNA from 1 species